CAGCCGCCGCGGUAAUACGGAGGGUGCAAGCGUUAAUCGGAAUUACUGGGCGUAAAGCGCACGCAGGCGGUUUGUUAAGUCAGAUGUGAAAUCCCCGGGCUCAACCUGGGAACUGCAUCUGAUACUGGCAAGCUUGAGUCUCGUAGAGGGGGGUAGAAUUCCAGGUGUAGCGGUGAAAUGCGUAGAGAUCUGGAGGAAUACCGGUGGCGAAGGCGGCCCCCUGGACGAAGACUGACGCUCAGGUGCGAAAGCGUGGGGAGCAAACAGGAUUAGAUACCCUGGUAGUCCACGCCGUAAACGAUGUCGACUUGGAGGUUGUGCCCUUGAGGCGUGGCUUCCGGAGCUAACGCGUUAAGUCGACCGCCUAGGGAGUACGGCCGCCAGGUUAAAACUCAAAUGAAUUGACGG
rnacentral:rRNA from 2 species